rnacentral:rRNA from 1 species
GACGAACGCUGGCGGCGUGCUUGACACAUGCAAGUCGAACGGAAAGGCCUGCUUUCCCUUGUGGAUUGCGGGUACUCGAGUGGCGAACGGGUGAGUAACACGUGAGUGAUCUGCCCCCAACUUGGGUAUAAGCCUGGGAAACUGGGUCUAAUUCCCGAUAGGACUGCAGGGUGGUGCCUGUGGUGGAAAACGAUUUUCUAGUGGUUGGGGAUGAGCUCGCGGCCUAUCAGCUUGUUGGUGGGGUAAUGGCCUACCAAGGCGGCGACGGGUAGCCGGCCUGAGAGGGUGGACGGCCACAUUGGGACUGGGAUACGGCCCAGACGCCUACGGGAGGCAGCAGUGGGGAAUAUUGCACAGUGGGCGGAAGCCUGAUGCAGCGACGCCGAGUGGGGGAUGACGGCCUUCGGGUGGUAAACUCCUUUCGACCGCGAGGAAGCCACCUGGUUGGAAGGGUGGUGACGGUAGUGGUAGAAGAAGCACCGGCUAACUACGUG